rnacentral:SRP_RNA from 1 species
GCCAGGCGUGGUGGCGGGUGCCUGUAAUCCCAGCUACUGUGGAAGCUGAGGCAGGAGAAUCGCUUGAACCCGGGAGGCGGAGGUUGCGGUGAGCCAAGAUCGCGCCACUGCAAUCUACCCUGGGCAACAGAGCGAGAUGCCAUUUCAUUUCUUUUUUUUUUUUUCUGAGACAGAGUCUCGCUCUUGUUGCCCAGGCUGGAGUGCAAUGGCGCUAUCUUGGCUCACCGCAACCUCCGCCUCCCAGGUUCAAGUGAUUAUCUUGCCUCAG